rnacentral:rRNA from 1 species
UACGGGGGGAGCAAGCGUUGUUCGGAUUUACUGGGCGUAAAGGGCGCGUAGGCGGCCACCGCAAGUCGGUUGUGAAAUCUCCGGGCUUAACCCGGAAAGGUCAAUCGAUACUGCGGGGCUAGAGUGCAGAAGGGGCAACUGGGAAUUCUCGGUGUAGCGGUGAAAUGCGUAGAUAUCGAGAGGAACACCUGCGGCGAAGGCGGGUUGCUGGGCUGACACUGACGCUGAAGCGCGAAAGCUAGGGGAGCGAACGGG